rnacentral:rRNA from 1 species
GCUUGUCUCAAAGAUUAAGCCAUGCAUGUCUAAGUGUAAAUAAGUCUAUACUGUGAAACUGCGAAUGGCUCAUUAAAUCAGUUAUCGUUUAUUUGAUGAUCUCUUACUACUUGGAUAACCGUAGUAAUUCUAGAGCUAAUACAUGCGCUCAAACCCGACUUCUGGAAGGGUUGUGUUUAUUAGAUACAGAACCAAUCUAGGCUUGCCUGGUUUUGUGGUGACUCAUGAUAACUGAAUGAAUCGUAUAGCAUCUGCUGGCGAUAAACCAUUCAAGUUUCUGACCUAUCAGCUUCCGACGGUAGGGUAUUGGCCUACCGUGGCAAUGACGGGUGACGGAGAAUUAGGGUUUGAUUCCGGAGAGGGAGCCUGAGAAACGGCUACCACAUCUAAGGAAGGCAGCAGG